rnacentral:rRNA from 1 species
GAUGAACGCUGGCGGCGUGCUUAACACAUGCAAGUCGAACGGGAAUUACAUUUUAGCUUGCUAAGUUGUAAUUCUAGUGGCGGACGGGUGAGUAACGCGUGGGUAACCUGCCUUAUACCGGGGGACAACAGUUGGAAACGACUGCUAAUACCGCAUAAGCGCACGGGAAGGCAUCUUUCUGUGUGAAAAACUCCGGUGGUAUAAGAUGGACCCGCGUCUGAUUAGCCAGUUGGCGGUGUAACGGCCCACCAAAGCGACGAUCAGUAGCCGGUCUGAGAGGAUGAACGGCCACAUUGGGACUGAGACACGGCCCAGACUCC